rnacentral:sRNA from 1 species
UUCACCAUCUUCCGCCGACCGCUGGUGUU